rnacentral:rRNA from 1 species
GAUAUGAACCGUUAUAACCGGCGAUUUCCGAAUGGGGAAACCCAGUGUGAUUCGUCACACUAUCAUUAACUGAAUCCAUAGGUUAAUGAGGCGAACCGGGGGAACUGAAACAUCUAAGUACCCCGAGGAAAAGAAAUCAACCGAGAUUCCCCCAGUAGCGGCGAGCGAACGGGGAGCAGCCCAGAGCCUGAAUCAGUGUGUGUGUUAGUGGAAGCGUCUGGAAAGGCGUGCGAUACAGGGUGACAGCCCCGUACACAAAAAUGCACAUACUGUGAGCUCGAUGAGUAGGGCGGGACACGUGGUAUCCUGUCUGAAUAUGGGGGGACCAUCCUCCAAGGCUAAAUACUCCUGACUGACCGAUAGUGAACCAGUACCGUGAGGGAAAGGCGAAAAGAACCCCGGCGAGGGGAGUGAAAAAGAACCUGAAACCGUGUACGUACAAGCAGUGGGAGCACGCUUAGGCGUGUGACUGCGUACCUUUUGUAUAAUGGGUCAGCGACUUAUAUUCUGUAGCAAGGUUAACCGAAUAGGGGAGCCGAAGGGAAACCGAGUCUUAACUGGGCGUUAAGUUGCAGGGUAUAGACCCGAAACCCGGUGAUCUAGCCAUGGGCAGGUUGAAGGUUGGGUAACACUAACUGGAGGACCGAACCGACUAAUGUUGAAAAAUUAGCGGAUGACUUGUGGCUGGGGGUGAAAGGCCAAUCAAACCGGGAGAUAGCUGGUUCUCCCCGAAAGCUAUUUAGGUAGCGCCUCGUGAAUUCAUCUCCGGGGGUAGAGCACUGUUUCGGCAAGGGGGUCAUCCCGACUUACCAACCCGAUGCAAACUGCGAAUACCGGAGAAUGUUAUCACGGGAGACACACGGCGGGUGCUAACGUCCGUCGUGAAGAGGGAAACAACCCAGACCGCCAGCUAAGGUCCCAAAGUCAUGGUUAAGUGGGAAACGAUGUGGGAAGGCCCAGACAGCCAGGAUGUUGGCUUAGAAGCAGCCAUCAUUUAAAGAAAGCGUAAUAGCUCACUGGUCGAGUCGGCCUGCGCGGAAGAUGUAACGGGGCUAAACCAUGCACCGAAGCUGCGGCAGCGACGCUUAUGCGUUGUUGGGUAGGGGAGCGUUCUGUAAGCCUGUGAAGGUGUGCUGUGAGGUAUGCUGGAGGUAUCAGAAGUGCGAAUGCUGACAUAAGUAACGAUAAAGCGGGUGAAAAGCCCGCUCGCCGGAAGACCAAGGGUUCCUGUCCAACGUUAAUCGGGGCAGGGUGAGUCGACCCCUAAGGCGAGGCCGAAAGGCGUAGUCGAUGGGAAACAGGUUAAUAUUCCUGUACUUGGUGUUACUGCGAAGGGGGGACGGAGAAGGCUAUGUUGGCCGGGCGACGGUUGUCCCGGUUUAAGCGUGUAGGCUGGUUUUCCAGGCAAAUCCGGAAAAUCAAGGCCGAGGCGUGAUGACGAGGCACUACGGUGCUGAAGCAACAAAUGCCCUGCUUCCAGGAAAAGCCUCUAAGCAUCAGGUAACAUCAAAUCGUACCCCAAACCGACACAGGUGGUCAGGUAGAGAAUACCAAGGCGCUUGAGAGAACUCGGGUGAAGGAACUAGGCAAAAUGGUGCCGUAACUUCGGGAGAAGGCACGCUGAUACGUAGGUGAAGCGACUUGCUCGUGGAGCUGAAAUCAGUCGAAGAUACCAGCUGGCUGCAACUGUUUAUUAAAAACACAGCACUGUGCAAACACGAAAGUGGACGUAUACGGUGUGACGCCUGCCCGGUGCCGGAAGGUUAAUUGAUGGGGUUAGCGCAAGCGAAGCUCUUGAUCGAAGCCCCGGUAAACGGCGGCCGUAACUAUAACGGUCCUAAGGUAGCGAAAUUCCUUGUCGGGUAAGUUCCGACCUGCACGAAUGGCGUAAUGAUGGCCAGGCUGUCUCCACCCGAGACUCAGUGAAAUUGAACUCGCUGUGAAGAUGCAGUGUACCCGCGGCAAGACGGAAAGACCCCGUGAACCUUUACUAUAGCUUGACACUGAACAUUGAGCCUUGAUGUGUAGGAUAGGUGGGAGGCUUUGAAGUGUGGACGCCAGUCUGCAUGGAGCCGACCUUGAAAUACCACCCUUUAAUGUUUGAUGUUCUAACGUGGACCCGUGAUCCGGGUUGCGGACAGUGUCUGGUGGGUAGUUUGACUGGGGCGGUCUCCUCCUAAAGAGUAACGGAGGAGCACGAAGGUUGGCUAAUCCUGGUCGGACAUCAGGAGGUUAGUGCAAUGGCAUAAGCCAGCUUGACUGCGAGCGUGACGGCGCGAGCAGGUGCGAAAGCAGGUCAUAGUGAUCCGGUGGUUCUGAAUGGAAGGGCCAUCGCUCAACGGAUAAAAGGUACUCCGGGGAUAACAGGCUGAUACCGCCCAAGAGUUCAUAUCGACGGCGGUGUUUGGCACCUCGAUGUCGGCUCAUCACAUCCUGGGGCUGAAGUAGGUCCCAAGGGUAUGGCUGUUCGCCAUUUAAAGUGGUACGCGAGCUGGGUUUAGAACGUCGUGAGACAGUUCGGUCCCUAUCUGCCGUGGGCGCUGGAGAACUGAGGGGGGCUGCUCCUAGUACGAGAGGACCGGAGUGGACGCAUCACUGGUGUUCGGGUUGUCAUGCCAAUGGCACUGCCCGGUAGCUAAAUGCGGAAGAGAUAAGUGCUGAAAGCAUCUAAGCACGAAACUUGCCCCGAGAUGAGUUCUCCCUGACCCUUUAAGGGUCCUGAAGGAACGUUGAAGACGACGACGUUGAUAGGCCGGGUGUGUAAGCGCAGCGAUGCGUUGAGCUAACCGGUACUAAUGAACCGUGAGGCUUAACCUUACAACGCCGAAG